GGCCUGAGCUUUCCUGCUAUCAGUUGAUUGGAAAUUCCACCUAAAUGUGUCCUUGCCUUAUCCUGUUCUGAUGUACGUGUCUUCUGAUCAAGGGACACCAGGAGACAGACAGCAGGUGAUGGGCAUGCCAAAGAGAAAAAGAAGUCUUCACACAACCAGUGGCUCAAAUCCCCAAAGUGGAACUGCAAGGUCAAAAGACGCAGGUCUGUCAUCGAUUUCUGACCUCUCAGAUAUAAGAAGAAAUAUCUUGAGGACUUCUGGGAAGGAUUUCACCUCUAAUAAAAAAAGACAAGGACUUUUUUGCCCUUUUCCUCUACCUUCCUACUCUGGAAACUUUCAAAUAAGUAUGGGCUAUCUAGAGCUGCAGCAGCUAUUUACAACUAUGAGGAGACAAGCCAGGUGAUGAAAUUCAAUACCCUUAAGGAAGGCAGAGUUAAAGGAUGGAAAGAAACGUCUUUUAAGAUACUGCUGAGCCACCACACCAACCACAGGACCAUCUUAAGACUUCUUGUUAAGUAAAAGUCAAAUGUUGCUACAUUAAUGAGGUUUUCUACUGCUUUCAACCAAGCACAACCUAAUUGGAUAAUCUAAUGAUUAAUUAUGUAUUAUAAUGUAUGGAUAUGUCUUUAUUUUUCAGUAUUCUUCCUUGUUAUGUUAGCUUCAUACUGAG
rnacentral:lncRNA from 1 species